GUUUCCUCAAGCUGCUUCAGAUCUGGGUGAUAAAAAUACUUUAUGGAGUUUUAUGAAGGCUUUAGAAAUAGUGUGUGAUUGUCCAGAUGUAAGAAUGCCUUUAUGAAAUUUAAAGAACAUCAGAGUAUCAGAGAUAUAGGUUCUUUUAGUAUACACUGCUAAAUACAUUUGUCUUACAGAAUUAGACAGCAAUCAAGAUCUGAAUUAAAAAUCCUCCUUCAGUUAUGAUACAAGACAUUACUGGUAAUUAUUUUCCAUACAGUACAAAGAAGAUAAGUUCUCCCUCUGUUUCCAGAUGGCAAAGAUAGAAGCUGUGUUCCUGUUUGUUCUACCCCUAAAAACAAACCCUGGAAACAACAACAACAACAACAACAACAACAACAACAACAACAACAACAACAAAAGGAACAUUCAAGUGUGAAGGAAGGCAAAUGAAAAAUGGUAAGAGGUGGCAUGAAAGAGAAGGAUAAAAAGGUCAUAAACAUGGAAAUAGUGAAGGACAUUGAGUAAGAGAUCACGAAACCUUGCUCUCUUCCCUGAAAGUCCAAAGAAAGAAGUCCAAAGUUUUUGCUUGGGGACAGAGAUUAUUCUUAUAGUCUCUAGGAACUGCCACACACACCCAGCUCCCUCCUUUUGGUGGAAUGAAUGACCAGUUGGGCUACAACCAGGAAAAAGUUAAAGAGAAGGUCCCAUAACUUGGCAAAAGAUCAUAGGAGAACACAUAUUCAACUGUAAUCUUACAGAUACUUAGGCAGUUCUUCUGUCUUACUGUCCCUUAAAAACUCAUCAGCUGUACAGGCAGAUAUUAGCUAAUUUUUCUGAGUAAAAGAAGUCUCUUCUUCAAUAUCUGUGGUAUUGUCUGUGGUAGCAAAUUAGUCUUUCUGUAAAAAGGAGAACAAACUGGUGUUCCUAAAGAAAUAUGAUUGUCAUUUACACUCCUGGAUGUGUCUCGAGAGUUUUCUUCCAGGUUUCCUGUUAUAAAUUCAAGCCUUGCAUUGGGAAAAGAUAGAAAUGUGGGCCAGUACAGUUAGAUAACUCCAUGACCAUGUGCCAAAACACCAAUAGGUUUUGAGCUUUAGAGUUUGCAUCUACAGAACCUUUUUAAUAGGUUUAUUCAUCUCCAGCAUAACAACAUCAACAGCUGAUCUGCCUCUGCCAAAUUGGGCAGCAACUGCUAUAUAGUUCAGUCUCGAUAUGGUGAGAGUCACAUUCUAGUGAACGGACAAUGAAUGCUCACAGGGUAAACUGGCUCUGUAAGUCAGAAAAGCUUUUCACAGCUCUCCAGUAAACUCCAAUUCACAUCUUGAAGUCUGUAGCUGUUGAUCAGUCUUUCUUUUCCCUGUACCUCAAACACAAAAAUAUGAAGUAAAGAGGUCCCCAAGAAAGUCCCUUGUGAAUCAGCACCUCCAGAUGCUCUACUU
rnacentral:lncRNA from 1 species